rnacentral:rRNA from 1 species
AUUGAACGCUGGCGGCAGGCCUAACACAUGCAAGUCGAGCGGAUGAAGGGAGCUUGCUCCUGGCUUCAGCGGCGGACGGGUGAGUAAUGCCUAGGAAUCUGCCUGGUCGUGGGGGAUAACGUCCGGAAACGGGCGCUAAUACCGCAUACGUCCUGAGGGAGAAAGUGGGGGAUCUUCGGACCUCACGCUAUCAGAUGAGCCUAGGUCGGAUUAGCUAGUUGGUGGGGUAAAGGCCUACCAAGGCGACGAUCCGUAACUGGUCUGAGAGGAUGAUCAGUCACACUGGAACUGAGACACGGUCCAGACUCCUACGGGAGGCAGCAGUGGGGAAUAUUGGACAAUGGGCGAAAGCCUGAUCCAGCCAUGCCGCGUGUGUGAAGAAGGUCUUCGGAUUGUAAAGCACUUUAAGUUGGGAGGAAGGGCAGUAAGUUAAUACCUUGCUGUUUUGACGUUACCAACAGAAUAAGCACCGGCUAACUUCGUG